UACAGAGGGUGCGAGCGUUGUUCGGAAUUACUGGGCGUAAAGGGCGCGUAGGCGGCUUGGCAAGUGGAUGGUGAAAUCCCUCGGCUUAACCGAGGAACUGCCGUCCAAACUGCUUAGCUUGAGACCGGGAGAGGUGAGUGGAAUUCCCAGUGUAGCGGUGAAAUGCGUAGAUAUUGGGAGGAACACCAGUGGCGAAGGCGGCUCACUGGACCGGUACUGACGCUGAGGCGCGAAAGCGUGGGGAGCAAACGGG
rnacentral:rRNA from 1 species